CGAUACAUUUCGAUAUUUCUGCCCGUGUAGUUUAUAAACGGCCGCAGUACUCUGACUGUGCUAAGGUAGCAUAAUCAAUUGGCUUUUAAUUGAAGUCUGGAAUGAAUGGGAAAAUGGAAGUAAGCUGUCUCUGUUUUAAUUUAUUGAAUUUAUUUAUAAAGUGAAAAUACUUUUAUAUAGAAAAAAGACGAGAAGACCCUUAGAAUUUUUAAUAAUUAAAGUAUUUUUUAUAUUUUUUUGUUGGGGCGACAUGAAAACAUUAGAAACUUUUCAUAAUUACAAGACAUAACUAUUGAAAGAAUAAAUUACCUUAGGGAUAACAGCAUAAUUAAUUAUUUAGUUUGUGACCUCGAUGUUGGACUAGGAACUAAUAGACUAGCCGUCAAAAUAGAUUGUUCUGUUCGAACAGAAAUUCCU
rnacentral:rRNA from 1 species